CAGCUUGCAGGUACUCCUUUUAAUGCGUUCAGCUGCAACAGCCACUGCAGGAAAGUUCCAUGUCAGGAAAGCCAGGAUUUAAAUCCUUUUCCUCACUCAAGGAGGAAAGAGCAGGCUCAGACAAGGGAAAAACAAUCCACUGAGCUUGAUGUGAAGCAGAUACAGCACCAGAUUUCAGCACUAAUGAAGGAAGAGGGCCAGAGCUCUAUUUCCCUCCUUUCCAUCAUCCCAUUAGGGAAACCUAAUGACUCCUGGGAAGGAACAUAGCCUAUUGUGUUGACUACGAGGGUAAUAGGGACAGGAACUGUUUCAUAGCAAAACAAUCAUGAUACACGCAUCACUUUCUGGAACUGGAAUGAAAAGUCUGACCCCCUAUUUUAAGGCAAGCAAUGCUGUCAACAGGGAAAAUCCUUUGAGUGAAACAUUUCAGCAGAAUUCCACUUAAUGCCUGAUGUUACAAUGCUACUAGAAGGGAACAGUAGAAGGGACAGUGGUGUAGAUAGGCCUAAACAAUGGAAAAU
rnacentral:lncRNA from 1 species